rnacentral:hammerhead_ribozyme from 1 species
AUGCUGACGAAUCUCAAAUGGGACGAAACGCGCGUCCUGAAU